rnacentral:lncRNA from 1 species
UAGUCAACACCCCAAUAGUAGCAUACACUAUUCACUUCAGGCAGUUCGAAAUCUGAUAUCUUUCGCUGGAGCCCUCUGAAUAUCCGUUUGAGCUCAAAUUUGACAGUCAUGUUCGGUUUUGCUUAACUUAAUGAAAGAAAUUUUAAUAUUUCAGUUUCGACCCCGUUUGGUCAUCGAAAGCCGUACCGAACUAUAAUCUUUAUCAGAUCACUAUCGGAUUUUAUUUUUCACCUUCCGAGUGUCAGAAUGAUAUGAAACUUUAAAUCUAGCAUCAUAAAAAUAAUUCUGACAUAUCCUCCAGUUUUCAUAAUUUUCUGACACUGUACAUUUUCUGCUAAUUUAUCUGCCCCGUCUCUCACAGAAAAUUCUAAACCUUCUGUUUUCGCUCCGAUUUCAGCACAGGUCAUUCCCAACCUAUAUUUCACUUCUCUAAAUCCAAUAAAAAUAGUAUCUCAUACUAUUUUUAUUUAUUUUCACUUUUAUAUUUAAUAUCUAGUAUGUUACAUUCUGCCGCAACCUCACCGGAACC